rnacentral:rRNA from 1 species
ACUCAAAUGAAUAGACGGGGGCCCGCACAAGCGGUGGAGCAUGUUGUUUAAUACGUCACUAACCGUAGAACCUUACCAGGGCUUGACAUCUUCGGACAUCCGGUGAAAGCCGGCUUUCCCCGCAAGGGGACCGGAAGACAGGUGUUGCAUGGCUGUCGUCAGCUCGUGUCGUGAGAUGUUGGGUUAAGUCCCGCAACGAGCGCAACCCUCACUCCAUGUUGCUACCAGGUAAAGCUGAGAACUCUUGGAGAACUGCCCGGGUAACCGGGAGGAAGGUGGGGAUGACGUCAAGUCAGCAUGGCCCUUACGUCCUGGGCUACAAACAUGCUACAAUGGGCGGCACACAGAGGGACCCGAAGCCGUGAGGUGGAGGCAAUCUCAAAAAUCCGCCCCCAGUUCGGAUCGCAGGCUGCAACUCGCCUGCGUGAAGCCGGAAUCGCUAGUAACCGCAAAUCAGCUAAGUUGCGGUGAAUACGUUCCCGGGCCUUGUACACACCGCCCGU